rnacentral:rRNA from 1 species
UACAGAGGGUGCGAGCGUUAAUCGGAAUUACUGGGCGUAAAGCGCACGUAGGCGGCUUGGUAUGUCGGGUGUGAAAGCCCCGGGCUCAACCUGGGAACUGCAGUUGAUACUGACCGACUAGAGUACGAGAGAGGGAGGUAGAAUUCCAUGUGUAGCGGUGAAAUGCGUAGAUAUAUGGAGGAAUACCGGUGGCGAAGGCGGCCUCCUGGCUCGAUACUGACGCUGAGGUGCGAAAGCGUGGGGAUCAAACAGG